UUUCCGUAGGUGAACCUGCGGAAGGAUCAUUGUUGUAUAACCGAGGUGCGAGGGCUGUCGCUGACUCGAAAGGUCGUGCACGCCCGAGUGCCCUCACACACAUCCAUCUCACCCCUAUGUGCACCACCGCGUGGGUCCCCCUUUGGCUUGUUCGGAGGGGGGCUUACGUUUUCACACAAACUUUGUAUGCAGUGUAGAAUGUAUUUUUUGUUUUUGCGAUCACGCAAUCAAUACAACUUUCAACAACGGAUCUCUUGGCUCUC
rnacentral:misc_RNA from 1 species